UACGUAGGGCGCAAGCGUUGUCCGGAAUUAUUGGGCGUAAAGAGCUCGUAGGCGGUUUGUCGCGUCUGCUGUGAAAACUCGAGGCUCAACCUCGGGCUUGCAGUGGGUACGGGCAGACUAGAGUGCGGUAGGGGAGACUGGAAUUCCUGGUGUAGCGGUGGAAUGCGCAGAUAUCAGGAGGAACACCGAUGGCGAAGGCAGGUCUCUGGGCCGCAACUGACGCUGAGGAGCGAAAGCACGGGGAGCGAACAGG
rnacentral:rRNA from 1 species